GAUAUGAUAAGUAGGGAUGAGAUCAGGUUGUUCCGUCUGAUGAUGAUGAUGAUGAUGAUGAUGAUGAUGAUGUCAACAGACCACAGCAGGAGGAAGAGCUCCACAGCUGAAUAUGAACAGCUUCAUGUUGGCAGUGAAGAGCUGCUGUGUUCUCUUUAGUGUUCAUUCACAACCAGUGAAAGUAAUGCAGCUCUUUUUAGUUUGGAUGAUGAUGUUCACGUUUCAUCCUGGAUCCUCGGAGGAUUUAGUGAAACCAUUUAAAGAUGUAAUGCCGGCGUUGGAAGGAGACAAUGUGACUCUCUCCUGCAGCUAUUCAGGCUCUGUACAAUACCUCUACUGGUAUCAACACAAGUCCAGUUCAUCUCCACAGCUUCUCAUCACGGAGUAUUCAGAGGACACAGCAGGGUUGUCUUUUACACAUGACAAAAAUACUAAAGAGUUUCAUCUGAUCAUCUCCUCUGCUGCAGUGUCACACUCUGCUGUGUACUACUGUGCUGUGAAGCCCACAGUGACAGGAAACACCAAAACUCUGUACAAAAACCUUUGGAGCAAAGACAACACAAUACUCCACAACGUCCACUAGAGGGCCACAUUAUCCAGUAGGAGGUGCACUA